GAGUAAUGUCUGGGAAACUGCCUGAUGGAGGGGGAUAACUACUGGAAACGGUGGCUAAUACCGCAUAACGUCGCAAGACCAAAGAGGGGGACCUUCGGGCCUCUUGCCAUCAGAUGUGCCCAGAUGGGAUUAGCUUGUUGGUGAGGUAACGGCUCACCAAGGCGACGAUCCCUAGCUGGUCUGAGAGGAUGACCAGCCACACUGGAACUGAGACACGGUCCAGACUCCUACGGGAGGCAGCAGUGGGGAAUAUUGCACAAUGGGCGCAAGCCUGAUGCAGCCAUGCCGCG
rnacentral:rRNA from 1 species